rnacentral:tRNA from 1 species
GGGAAAGUGGCUCAGUGGUAGAGCUCUUGCCUUGUGUGCACGAGGUCCUGGGUUCGAUUCCCCAGUACCA